AGAGUUUGAUCAUGGCUCAGAGUGAACGCUGGCGGCGUGCCUAACACAUGCAAGUCGAACGAGAACGGAUAUAAGUUUACUUAUAUUGUCAGCUAAGUGGCGCACGGGUGAGUAAUAUAUAGUUAAUCUGCCCUGAAGAAGAGAAUAAUUGUUGGAAACGACUUGUAAUGCUCUAUAUGCCUUUAUCACAUAAGUGAGCAAGGGAAAUAUUUAUAGCUUCGGGAUGAGACUGUACGGUAUCAGCUAGUUGGUGAGGUAAUGGCUCACCAAGGCUACGACAUCUAACUGGUUUGAGAGGAUGAUCAGUCACACUGGAACUGAGACACGGUCCAGACUCCUACGGGAGGCAGCAGUGGGGAAUAUUGCACAAUGGAGGAAACUCUGAUGCAGCAACGCCGCGUGGAGGAUGACACAUUUCGGUGCGUAAACUCCUUUUAUUAGGGAAGAUAAUGACGGUACCUAAUGAAUAAGCACCGGCUAACUCCGUGCCAGCAGCCGCGGUAAUACGGGGGGUGCAAGCGUUACUCGGAAUCACUGGGCGUAAAGAGCAUGUAGGCUGAUUAGUAAGUUGGAAGUGAAAUCCUAUGGCUCAA
rnacentral:rRNA from 1 species